rnacentral:rRNA from 1 species
CACCUUUUGACAUGCCCGGACCGGUGCAGAGAUGCACCUUUCCUUUCGGGGACUGGGACACAGGUGCUGCAUGGCUGUCGUCAGCUCGUGUCGUGAGAUGUUGGGUUAAGUCCCGCAACGAGCGCAACCCUCGCCUCUAGUUGCCAUCAGGUUUGGCUGGGCACUCUAGAGGGACCGCCGGUGCUAAGCCGGAGGAAGGUGGGGAUGACGUCAAGUCCUCAUGGCCCUUACAGGGUGGGCUACACACGUGCUACAAUGGCGACUACAGAGGGCUGCAAACCCGCGAGGGGGAGCAAAUCCUAAAAAGUCGUCUCAGUUCGGAUUGCACUCUGCAACUCGAGUGCAUGAAGUCGGAAUCGCUAGUAAUCGCGGAUCAGCAUGCCGCGGUGAAUA